CCCUUAGAUGUUCUGGGCCGCACGCGCGCUACACUGAUGCAUUCAACGAGUUUUACCUUGGCCGAGAGGCCUGGGCAAUCUUUUGAACGUGCAUCGUGAUAGGGAUAGAUUAUUGCAAUUUUUAAUCUUGAACGAGGAAUUCCUAGUAAACGCAGAUCAUCAAUCUGCAUUGAUUACGUCCCUGCCCUUUGUACACACCGCCCGUCGCACCUACCGAUUGAAUGGUCCGGUGAAGCCUCGGGAUUGUGAUGAGUUCCCUUUAUUGGGAGUUUGUUGCGAGAACUUGUCUAAACCUUAUCAUUUAGAGGAAGGUGAANUCGUANCA
rnacentral:rRNA from 1 species